CGGUUGAAGAGAAAAAUCCUGAAAUUCAGGGUUGACUCUGAAAGAGGAAAGCGUAAUAUACGCCACCUCGCGACAGUGCGCUAAAGCGUGUCGCAACUGCUCUUUAACAAUUUAUCAGACAAUCUGUGUGGGCACUCGAAGAUACGGAUUCUUAACGUCGCAAGACGAAAAAUGAAUACCAAGUCUCAAGAGUGAACACGUAAUUCAUUACGAAGUUUAAUUCUUUGNNNNNNNNNNCUUCGCUGACGAGUGGCGGACGGGUGAGUAAUGUCUGGGAAACUGCCUGAUGGAGGGGGAUAACUACUGGAAACGGUAGCUAAUACCGCAUAACGUCGCAAGACCAAAGAGGGGGACCUUCGGGCCUCUUGCCAUCGGAUGUGCCCAGAUGGGAUUAGCUAGUAGGUGGGGUAACGGCUCACCUAGGCGACGAUCCCUAGCUGGUCUGAGAGGAUGACCAGCCACACUGGAACUGAGACACGGUCCAGACUCCUACGGGAGGCAGCAGUGGGGAAUAUUGCACAAUGGGCGCAAGCCUGAUGCAGCCAUGCCGCGUGUAUGAAGAAGGCCUUCGGGUUGUAAAGUACUUUCAGCGGGGAGGAAGGGAGUAAAGUUAAUACCUUUACUCAUUGACGUUACCCGCAGAAGAAGCACCGGCUAACUCCGUGCCAGCAGCCGCGGUAAUACGGAGGGUGCAAGCGUUAAUCGGAAUUACUGGGCGUAAAGCGCACGCAGGCGGUUUGUUAAGUCAGAUGUGAAAUCC
rnacentral:rRNA from 1 species